CUGAGAAGAUUGCCCGUGACCUGCCACCCAUCAUACUGAUUUGGGUAUCGUCAGCUGUUUCGUUAAGGGCUGUUGCCACUCCCAGUCACUCGUGGCUCUUCAUUCUUGCUGCACAAUCAGCAUGAGCUGUUGUGGGAACUGAGCCACCCCAUGGGUGAUUGCUGGGCACCAGUGCCACCUGUCAGCUUGGGUUGCCUCCCAGUUAAUGACAGCUAUGCCGCACUUGCAAGACUGCCUCAAAGUGUCCUUGACAGAUUCUGUUUCCUGCUUCAUUUCCCAGUCACGGUGCACAUGCAGUUGGAAUAUUUUACUCCACUUUUUUCAUGCUUUCACAGUUUGUGACUAGAAGUCUGCUGUAAUUCAUAUCCUCGUUCCACUAUAGGUGCAAUGCCUCAUGAAGCAUGACAAGCACCUGACGUGCUUUUCUUCUGAAAUGAGAGAGUUUCUCCUAAUCACUUGCCCAUGCAUACACACAAUGCGUGCUUCGUGAUCCACGGGCCACUUCCAUCUCUUCAGUGGCCUAAGGACAGACAUUAAAAAUAAGCUCAUGAUUUGUAAGAAAAGCAGAUACGGAUGAAUUCCAAAUAACCAUAUCCAACUUACAUAAACCAGCUCAAGAAGACAUUUUACUAAUUUAAUUUCUGUUUACUAGGUAUUGAUUGGAUUGAUCAGUAUUCAUUCAGAUUUGUCCUUGGUUGUGUGUGUUGUGUAUUGAUUCUACUUUUUGUCAGCCUAUUAAUUUUCAAUAAAUAAUGUCUCAGAAAUUGCAGAUGAGCAAAUUAAAGUGUAAUGUUAUAAUGUGUAAUAUUACUUUAAAAUCUGUUUUUCAAAACAAAAUAGACCAGUAUCACACUUAUGAAAUGUAAUUGUACUCAUUUUUUUAAAAAAAUUUCUGACUGCUUUUAUACAAGGACAAACUUUUUAUGUUUAUAAAAUGGAAAUAGGGACAACAUUGUUGGAAAUGUUAGCCUCCUAAUGUUGAUAAGAAUUGUGUUUCUACAAUCUCUGUUCUUGAAAUUAUGCUGCAUCUACCACUGUCCUAAAAUACAACUUUCAAGAAAUAAUAAAG